UCCAAACAGUCAACGAUUCAAAGAAGAUCGGUUCAUUGACAAAUCUUCUUAAGGACAUCAAAUUUUGGGAAAAGAAAUUUCACACUAUUCGGUUUGCUUUUGUCAAAAGGGAUGGAAACAUGUCAGCGCAUUUUCUAGCAAAGUUUGGAUCUGUAUCCUCUGUUUUUUAUUCAAAUUCUGUACUUUCAGCCAUCUUAGCUCCAAAACCAACUUUGUAUUGACUCUUUAAAUUUAAUAUAAUCAUGUUUUUGAUGAAAAAAAAAAAAAUAUUUGGUUUAUAACAACAAACCCCAAACGUGAUUUGUCUUUGUUUUGUUGAAAUAGGCUUUUGGGUUUUGCGUUCUAAUGAAUGAACAAAUCAUCAAAUUUCGACUGUAGCCGUCAAUAGCUUUUUGGAAGCUCAAUUUGCGAUUUCUCUCACCACACCUCGAGGUCUCGGCUCCUCUUCCGGAUUGCUUGAUCCUCGUCCAUUCCCAAACACAUAGUGUUUACCUAGACAAUAAAUCCUGAAAUCGAGCUUCCACAGGAAAAACUCAUCACCCAAAAUUUCUAUGUUGUGGCUUUGUCAAAGAAAACUACUAUGGAGGAGAUUUAUAUAAGAACAAACUAAUUCAGUUCCUUGGACGAACAACACCUAUCAUUCUCCAAAGCCAAAAUGGACCUUGUCCUUUGUUGGCAAUUUGUAGUUUACUAGCUACUGUCGAGGAUUUAGGUCAUCAUGCUGGUUAUUACAAACUCUUGAAAUCUCGUGGCGCAAGGUCUUAUAUCUAACAUUCGAUUUUGUUUUAUGAUUUUGGUUGUCUUUUAAUUUGAGAAGAAACAAGAAUUUUAGUGUCAAGUAACGGACUGUAAUUCGAAGCUUGUGUGAUUGUAUGAGUAAAUUAUAUUGAAGAAAUUGAGUUAUUCAUUGAAAUUACUACUUUUUAUGCUUAAAUUUGGCUUCUUUAGCUUGUUUUGAUAUCGUUACUAUGGAAAUGAUG